UUAACCACCAAGCUCCUGAAGGUCACAUUCUGACACAGACACAGUCAGAAACGAAGGAGGUACUCGAUCACGGGCCCUCCUCAAAUUGACCACCAAGCUCAUGAACUUGACCGAACAGCUCGACAUGACGCUGUCGGCUUGUUAUCUACCAGGAGAUGGGAUUGCAGACCGGGCCAUAGGCACGGUAUCCCAGACCACCUGUAACAUCAAAGGGUCGAGUAGUACCCAGGUGGAAUCUAUUAGUACCCCAGGCCGCGGAGGCCAUACUCAGUGUAUGGGGAGUCCCAGACAGAGACUUGUUUGCUUCCAUUUAGAAUAUAUUAGUACCCCAGGCCGCGGAGGCCAUACUCAGUGUAUGGGGAGUCGCAGACAGAGACUUGUUUGUUCCAGUUAGAAUCCAUUAGUACCCCCGGCCACAGAGGCUAUAUUCAUUAUGUAGGGGUGUCCCAAAAUAGACUUAUUGGCUUCCAGGGCCACGGCAGUAGUAUUAACUAUGUUACACUGGACUCAAAAGAUGGAUGUUAAAUAUUAAAUAAAAUUAUACUGUUUGUGUUCCUUAAAUGAACAAGUAAAAUUAUAAUUGAAAAUUAGCUAAUAAAUAGUAUUAUCCAUCUUUUGUACCACAUUAAGGCAAAUAGAUCAGAACUCUGAUUCUUUAUGACGCCCUUCAGCCGUCUCUGGGAUUAUCAGCUGGAUGAGUGUUUUCACCUCCCAGCUACAGACGUUACCAUACUUGAAUGGCAGACGGAACAUACAUUCUAAUAACAUCGGCCCCAGUGCUAAUAAAGGAUCUGUUAGAGACCCUAGUCUACAACAAGUAGAUAAGUUAUCUCUCCAAAAUUUAAAAUUGGUGGUGGAAGGAGCAAUCAUAAGAUGCAUUAUGUGGGUCAAUCUCACAGCAUUGACCACAAGUUACCAACUGGUAGUGAUGUGGUAGCCAGUGGCGGCGUAGCGUGGCUUGGCGCGCGGGGCGGUCCGUACCCCCCAUAUAUAUCCGCCCCCCCGGGGGCUAUGGCACCCCAGAAUGGUCUGGUCUGGUGCCCCCCAGGAUUUUUGGGUUACCGAUUCGAAGAUGAAAGAUGUUUUACGCCGUUACUAUAGCGCUGCUGUUAGCCAAGCUGUUUUUACAGCAAAAACUUGCAGUACAAAACUGAUACUUAGGUCAGUUGUAUCUACCUUUACCUUUUGUACAUCAGUUCCUUAAGGCCAUUUCACUUGCAAGGCCAAGUACACCGAGAUCACCGGUCUUUAGUAUUAAAUUACUGGAAUUAAUUUGACUGGUUGCCGGCUGCUGGACUUUCUUCUAGCAUUGAAUUUUACUUGAUAAACAGCUCUCAUUCUUCUUCUUGCUUCAGAUCGAAGAAUCCAUGAUCUCAUUCCUUUGGACACAUUACAGGAUUACUUUGUUGAAGUAUCAGAAUAUGAUCACAUUGUGACAUUGGCGUAUCUAGGGUUGUUUUGCGGGGGGGGGCCCAGAACCUCCCCGCUAUAGACAUGACGUCAGCAUUUUGGCUGAUAUUUGGAUCUGAAUCUGAUUCAACCACCUACAGACUGUCUCUGACUGCUAAGCACCCAGAUGAACGCAUAAUUAUGUCCUGUAGUUUCAUAUUAGUGAGCUGAUAAAGACUUCAUUUUAAUGGAGACCCCAGAGUUAUGUGUGAAAUUUGUUUAUUUCCAUAAACAAUAUGAUAACGCCUGUUUUCCAGGUCAAAUAUUACAAAUUGGAUUAAGAUCAUUUUUAGUGAAUAAUUACUUCUCCAAGAAGUGCAGUGAAUAUUUGCUUCUCCAUGAAGUGUUUGGUCUGCAGUAACAUCCAGAUACUGGCUGGACAAGAGAGUAGUUGAUAAGACCCCCAAUAUUUAAUUGGAGGUGGGGGUAUGUAUACCUUUAUGAAAUAUUACUGCAGAGACCUACGAAGGAACAAUAACAUCUUGUAUUUAUGAGUUUAUAAUUUUACAAGCAUGUUAUUAAUAGUUAAUUGUUUAAUGUUAUGUUAUUCAUAACAAGUUUUUAGUAAUGUUU